AUUGAACGCUGGCGGCAGGCCUAACACAUGCAAGUCGAGCGAGGCGGGGGCGGGUGAGUAAUGUCUGGGACACCGUCUGAUGGAGGGGGAUCACUACUGGAAACGGUAGCUAAUACCGUAUACCAUCAGAUGCGCCCAGAUGGGUUUAGCUAGUAGGUGGGGUAAUGGCUCACCUAGGCGACGAUCCCUAGCUGGUCUGAGAGGAUGACCAGCCACACUGGAACUGAGACACGGUCCAGACUCCUACGGGAGGCAGCAGUGGGGAAUAUUGCACAAUGGGCGCAAGCCUGAUGCAGCCAUGCCGCGUGUGUGAAGAAGGCCUUCGGGUUGUAAAGCACCUUCAGCGGGGAGGCGUUACCCGCAGAAGAAGCACCGGCUAACUCCGUGCCAGCAGCCGCGGUAAUUC
rnacentral:rRNA from 1 species